rnacentral:misc_RNA from 1 species
GUGAAUCAUCAAAUUUUUGAACGCAAAUUGCACUCUCCUCGGAGAGUAUGACUGUUUGAGGGUCAGCCUAUAAAAAAUCGACAUAGUUGCUGUUUCGCGGUGGCGUUGGUCGGAUAUUGGGUCAUAUUAAAUCCUUUUGAUUUAAGUGACUUGAAAUUUUUUUUUGGUUCCAUGAACGUUUCUAAGAUCUAUUUAUUUACACGUUUAAGGUAUCGAUUUUUACUAGAUGUGAGCAUCAUUUGGGAUCGCGUCCAUAAUCUUUUAUUAAAUGA